rnacentral:rRNA from 1 species
GUAGGCUGCAACUCGCCUACAUGAAGUCGGAAUCGCUAGUAAUCGCGGAUCAGCAUGCCGCGGUGAAUACGUUCCCGGGCCUUGUACACACCACCCGUCACACCAUGAGAGUUUGUAACACCCAAAGCCGGUGGGGUAACCUUUUGGAGCCAGCCGUCUAAGGUGGGACAGAUGAUUGGGGUGAAGUCGUAACAAGGUAUC